rnacentral:rRNA from 1 species
GCUACUUUGCUGACGAGCGGCGGACGGGUGAGUAAUGCUUGGGAACAUGCCUUGAGGUGGGGGACAACAGUUGGAAACGACUGCUAAUACCGCAUAAUGUCUACGGACCAAAGGGGGCUUCGGCUCUCGCCUUUAGAUUGGCCCAAGUGGGAUUAGCUAGUUGGUGAGGUAAUGGCUCACCAAGGCGACGAUCCCUAGCUGGUUUGAGAGGAUGAUCAGCCACACUGGGACUGAGACACGGCCCAGACUCCUACGGGAGGCAGCAGUGGGGAAUAUUGCACAAUGGGCGCAAGCCUGAUGCAGCCAUGCCGCGUGUGUGAAGAAGGCCUUCGGGUUGUAAAGCACUUUCAGUCAGGAGGAAAGGUUAGUAGUUAAUACCUGCUAGCUGUGACGUUACUGACAGAAGAAGCACCGGCUAACUCCGUGCCAGCAGCCGCGGUAAUACGGAGGGUGCGAGCGUUAAUCGGAAUUACUGGGCGUAAAGCGUACGCAGGCGGUUUGUUAAGCGAGAUGUGAAAGCCCCGGGCUCAACCUGGGAACUGCAUUUCGAACUGGCAAACUAGAGUGUGAUAGAGGGUGGUAGAAUUUCAGGUGUAGCGGUGAAAUGCGUAGAGAUCUGAAGGAAUACCGAUGGCGAAG